AUAGCGUAUAUUAAAGUUGUUGCAGUUAAAAAGCUCGUAGUUGGAUCUCAGGGUGAGCUCAGUUGGUCGGCCUAAUUGGUCAGAACUGGCUGACUCUCCAUUGUUUCUGAAUCCCGGUCGGAGUUAAUUCUUCGUUCGUGGACUUCAGAUCGUUUACCUUGAAAAAAUUAGAGUGUUCAAAGCGGGCGUUUGCUUGAAUACAUUAGCAUGGAAUAAUGGAAUAGGACCCUGGUCUUAUUUUGUUGGUUUUGAGGACCAGAGUAAUGAUUAAUAGGGAUAGUUGGGGGCAUUCAUAUUUAAUUGUCAGAGGUGAAAUUCUUGGAUUUAUGAAAGAUGAACUUCUG
rnacentral:rRNA from 1 species